rnacentral:rRNA from 1 species
UACGGGAGGCAGCAGUGGGGAAUAUUGCACAAUGGGCGCAAGCCUGAUGCAGCCAUGCCGCGUGUAUGAAGAAGGCCUUCGGGUUGUAAAGUACUUUCAGCGGGGAGGAAGGCGGUGAAGUUAAUAGCUUCACCGAUUGACGUUACCCGCAGAAGAAGCACCGGCUAACUCCGUGCCAGCAGCCGCGGUAAUACGGAGGGUGCAAGCGUUAAUCGGAAUUACUGGGCGUAAAGCGCACGCAGGCGGUCUGUCAAGUCGGAUGUGAAAUCCCCGGGCUUAACCUGGGAACUGCAUUCGAAACUGGCAGGCUAGAGUCUUGUAGAGGGGGUAGAAUUCCAGGUGUAGCGGUGAAAUGCGUAGAGAUCUGGAGGAAUACCGGUGGCGAAGGCGGCCCCUGGGACAAGACUGACGCUCAGGGU